GACGAACGCUGGCGGCGUGCCUAAUACAUGCAAGUAGAACGCUGAAGGAAGGAGCUUGCUCUUUCUGGAUGAGUUGCGCACGGGUGAGUAACGCGUAGGUAACCUGCCUGGUAGCGGGGGAUAACUAUUGGAAACGAUAGCUAAUACCGCAUAAAAUUGAUUAUUGCAUGAUAGUCAAUUAAAAGGUGCAACUGCACCACUACCAGAUGGACCUGCGUUGUAUUAGCUAGUUGGUGGGGUAACGGCUCACCAAGGCGACGAUACAUAGCCGACCUGAGAGGGGGGACGGCCACACUGGGAACGGGACACGGCCCAGACCUCUACGGGAGGGAGCAGGAGGGAAUCUUCGGCAAUGGACGGAAGGCUGGCCGAGCAACGCCGCGUGAGUGAAGAAGGUUUUCGGAUCGUAAAGCUCUGUUGUAAGGGAAGAAAGAGUGUGGGAGUGGAAAGUUCACACUGUGACGGUAUCUUACCAGAAAGGGACGGCUAACUACGUG
rnacentral:rRNA from 1 species